rnacentral:tRNA from 1 species
GCCGUGGCCUACUGGUUAGGGCUUCGGGCUUCCAACCGAAGGGUUGCUGGUUCGAUUCCCCGAACA